AGUAAGAUAGAAUAAAAAGUUCGUCUCGUUUACACCGAGAUAGUUGGGUCAAGUUGCCCAUCUUACU
rnacentral:tRNA from 1 species